GUUGCCGUGGCCGAGUGGUUAAGGUGAUGUACUAGACAUAUUUUGGGAUCUUCCCGAGCAGGUUCGAAUCCUGCCGACAACG
rnacentral:tRNA from 1 species